rnacentral:lncRNA from 1 species
UUGAUCGGGCGGAAAAACUUAAGGCGGGAAACAAUCUGGACGAUCUGCCUUCUAAAGGUAACAAUGAUACUUUUGUUGAUUUCCGAGAUAAUAUUAUUUCUGAGUCCCUUAAAUCCAUUGGUAUUCUGGCGGGUAGCAAUCCCGGUUCAGUUUCAAUGUCUAUUAGUAUGCUAAAACAAUUAGAGACUAAUAGAGGUAAAGAUCAACGAAAAAGUAAUUACAAAAACGCUUUAGCUGAUCUGUUGGAAAAGGAAGUAGAAGAGGAGGAAGAGUUAGAUAGCUUCAUUUUAAAUAACUUGUGCGGGGAUAGUAUGCAAGCUGUGAUGGAUGGUAAUGAUGAGCUGAUUAUUUCAGCACGUACAAAACCACCUAGUCACGGCCCACAGCUUUCAAAGAGGAGGUCGGGUUCGAACAUUUAUUAAUUGUUUCCCAAUGAAAGGAAUCUUUUGGAAUAGUAAUGGGUUUAAAGAUGUUAAGAAACACAGAUUUGUUACGGAUCUUACCAAGGAGCAUAAUCUUUGUUUCAUUGCGAUUUCUGAAACAGGACGCAAAACCUUUUCAGAUCAUCUACUAAGGAAUUUGUGUGCUGGGAAGAAUUUCCUUUGGCACUGCAAAGAACCUCAUGGUAGAUCUGGGGGGAUGCUUCUAGGAGUUGAUCUUGAUGUGUUUGAUAUAGGUGCCAUUGAGGAAGGUGAUUUCUUUAUAAAGUUUAAAUUACUUAAUAAGGAGGAUGGUUUCAAGUGGGCUCUGGUUUUUGUAUAUGGACCUGCUCAGGAUUGCCUCAAACAAAGCUUCCUAUCAGAGGUAGUUCGUUUGAGUAAUACGGAGACAUCACCUAUUCUCAUUGGGGGAGACUUUAAUAUUCUAAGAUCUCCAUCUGAGAAAAAUAAUGAUAGAUUUGACCAUCGAUGGCCAUUUUUAUUCAACGUCGUAAUUGAUGUUCUUGAUCUGAGAGAGAUGGACAUGUCUAGGCGAAGGUUCACUUGGGCUAACUCUAGGGAUAACCCGACUUAUGAGAAAUUGGAUCGGAUCCUUGUAGCCACAGAGUGGGAGGAAAAAUAUCCUAGAGCCGCAGUGCUUGCCCUUUCUAGAAAUAUCUCUGACCAUACCCCUUUGCUUCUUAGUACGGGAAUAAGAUCUGUUCAAACAAUACCUCCUUUCAAGUUUGAAUUAGGAUGGUUCUUUCGGGAUGGAUUUGUGGAUAUGGUUAAAGAUAUAUGGAUUAACGAGGCAGGGGGAUCGAAUCCAUUGGAGAAAUGGCAAGCCAAGAUUAGGAAAGUGCGUCAGUACUUAAGGGGAUGGGCGCAGCAUACCUCUGGUAUUUUAAAAAAGGAAAAGAAGGAGAUUAUUUCCAAGCUUGAUGAAAUUGAUAAGCGAGCUGAAUCGGUUCCAUUGAGUACAUCAGAGUUAGAUCUUCGCAAUUUCCUUCAGAGUAGGCUAGCUCAGCUUCUCCGUGAAGAGGAAAUAAAGUGGUACCAAAGGGCGAAGGUCAAGGAGCUCCUUGAGGGUGACAGUAACACCAAAUAUUUUCACAUGGUCGCCAAUGGGAAGCAUAGAAAGAAUCGUAUCUUCCAAAUGCAUAAUGGUGAUCGCAUGUUAUAUGAGGAUAGGGAGUUAAAAAGUCAUAUAACUAGGUAUUAUAAAGAUCUAUUUGGCCCACCAGAAAGGUCGUCUUUUACUCUGGAUGAGGAUCUUAGAGAUGAUAUAAUACAAGUCACCCAGGCCGAGAAUGAAGAGCUCAUUAAGACUUUUUCAGAGGAAGAAGUCAAGGCGGCGGUGUUUAGUAUGGAACAUAACAAGGCACCUGGGCCUGAUGGAUUCCCAGUGGAAUUUUAUCAAGUCUGUUGGGAUGUUAUAAAAAUGAUCUUAUGGCUUUGUUCCAUCUGUUCCAUGUUGGGAACCUUCCCUUGUACAGUCUUAACUUUGGGACUAUAGUCUUGCUUCCUAAGAGUAAUGGGGUGAUUACUGUUCAACAAUAUCGACCGAUAUGUCUCCUAAAUGUUAGCUUCAAAAUUUUCACAAAAGUGGCGACUAAGAGGAUCUCGGUGGUUGCGCAAAAUGUAAUCAGUCCAUUGCAGACGGCUUUUCUUCCUGGAAGAAAUAUCAUGGAGGGUGUGGUGGUCCUGCAUGAAACCUUACAUGAGCUUCACACCAAGGAAAGAGAUGGGGUCAUUUUCAAAAUUGACUUUGAGAAAGCGUACGAUAAGGUGAAGUGGAGCUUUGUCCAGCAAGUCCUUCGUAUGAAAGGAUUCUCAGAUACGUGGUGUAGUUGGAUUAAGACUUUUAUGGAAGGGGGUCAUGUGGCGGUUAAAGUUAAUGAUCAGAUGGGUCCGUUUUUUCAGACUCAAAGAGGGGUUAGACAGGGUGACCCGUUGUCACCUAUAAUCUUUAAUUUGGUAGCAGAUAUGCUUGCCACUUUGAUUAAGAGAGCAAAGGUGAACGGGCAAGUAGUGGGUUUGGUACCACACUUGGUAGAUGGAGGCCUUUCCAUUCUACAAUACGCAGAUGAUACAAUCUUGUUUAUGGAGCACAACUUGGACAAGGCAACGAAUAUGAAACUCAUAUUAUGUGCCUUUGAGCAGCUGUCUGGUCUGAAAAUAAAUUUCCACAAGAGUGAGGUCUUCUGCUAUGGGAAGGCCAAAGAGGAGGAAGGGAGGUACACAAGAUUGUUUAGCUGUAAAAGUGGAGGCAUGCCUUUCAGAUAUCUUGGAAUCCCUAUGCACCAUCGCAGGUUGGCUAAUGGUGAUUGGAAAACAGUGGAAACCAAAUUUGAGAGAAAGCUAAGUAGUUGGAAAGGAAAGCUUAUGUCCGUGGGAGGGCGGUUAGUGUUAAUUAAUUCUGUUCUAACCAGUCUUGCGAUUUUUAUGAUGUCUUUCUUUGAAGUACCAAAAGGGGUGCUAGAGAAAAUAGAUUAUUUCAGAUCACGUUUUUUUUGGCAAGGUGAUGGCCAUAAGAAAAAAUAUAGGUUGGCAAGAUGGGAUGUACUUUGCCAACCUAAAGAGUUAGGCGGGUUAGGCAUUUUGAAUUUAGAGAUUCAAAAUAAAUGCCUCUUAAGUAAAUGGUUGUAUAAACUUCUCAAUGAAGAAGGAAUGUGGCAAUCGUUGCUGAGACGGAAAUAUUUGGCCAAUCGAACUCUAUCCCAAGCACAUCGUCGGGCUUCGGAUUCUCACUUUUGGAGUGGCCUUAUGAAGAUUAAGGAUCUAUUCAUGAGUAAAGGUACCUUUCAGGUAAAAGAUGGGUCCCAAACGCGUUUCUGGGAGGACAAUUGGCUUGGGUUGGGAGCGCUAAAAUUUCGAUUUCCUCUUUUGUAUAAUCUUGCAAGGAGGAAGAAUUCAACUGUUGCCUUUGUCUUCUCCACAGUACCCUUAAACAUAUCAUUCCGUAGGGGAUUGGUGCACCAGUUGAGGGCUCAAUGGUUUCAACUAGUGACGUUGGUGGCGUAUACCAAUUUGACUACUAACAGGGAUUCAUUCAGAUGGGACCUCACUGCCAAUGGGUUGUUCUCUGUUCAGUCCCUGUAUCAGGCAAUUCUUAACAAUGGGGCGGUUAGGGAUAACAAGGACCUUUGGAAGCUUAAGAUACCUCUAAAAAUAAAAGUUUUUAUGUGGUACCUCAAAAGAGGUGUAACUUUAACAAAGGAUAACUUGGCCAGGAGGAAUUGGCCUGGUAAUCAGACCUGUUGCUUUUGUAGCAGACUGGAGACAAUAAAUCACCUGUUUUUCAGGUGUACUUAUGCGUCUUUCAUCUGGCGUUUGGUUCAGAUAAGCACAGGGUUGAGACCACCUCGGGAUGCAAACGAUUUGUUUGGGGACUGGGCAAGGGUGCUAUCAGUCAAAUCACGUCGUUUACUACUAACUGCAGCAUCUGCAAUUUGCUGGGCUAUUUGGUUAAGCAGGAAUGAUGUGACUUUCAAUAAAUCUUCUCCUAAAUCUUGUCUGCAGGUAACCUUCAGGGCAACAUAUUGGUGUCGCUUCUGGGCACAGCUACAGCUUAAGAUGGAGGACCAAGAGUUAAUAAAAUCUUCAUGUCGCAAGAUGGAGAUGGUGCUACUAAAGUUUUUUCGCAAUUUCGGAUGGGGAGCUGCUUGGCGAUUAAC